UACGUAGGCAGCGAGCGUUGUUCGGAAUUACUGGGCGUAAAGAGUGUGUAGGCGGUGCUCCCAGUCUGUUGUGAAAUCUCCCGGCUUAACUGGGAGGGUGCAGCGGAAACUAGAGUGCUAGAGGGUGGGAGAGUAAGCGGAAUCCUGGUGUAGCGGUGAAAUGCGUAGAUAUCAGGAGGAACACCGUGUGGUGUAGACAGCUUACUGGACCACUUCUGACGCUGAGACACGAAAGCGUGGGUGCAAACAGG
rnacentral:rRNA from 1 species